rnacentral:sRNA from 1 species
CUUGGUGAGGCAGUAGAGAUGCUGAAUCCCAAAAUCAAAGCUGCCAUCCCAAGACUUCACUUGAAAUGCACUGAUCAGGAUAUGAAGGUACUCGAGCUUUGCCAUAGAUCCUGCCUCAAAAACCAAUCCCAUAUGAUAGCAGUGAAUCUUAAAGAAUGUUAGAGAUUGGAAUCCUUGGCUACUGAUGGUGAGCUUCUCUUUAGGGGCCUCAUCGGAGAAUAGGUAUAGAGUGAGGAGAGAAGGUAUGCUUCCAAGCAUCCUCAGAUCUUCUUGGUUAAUUCUUUUGACAUAUAUAUGCAAGUACUGAAGGUUUGCAAGGGAUUCAGUCCAGUUUGGUAUCCUGGAAAUGGGAUGCCAUCGACCAAUGUAUAAUUUCCGGAGUCUACAAGGAGCAAGGGUCCACAAAUGUAGUGAGAAAUCGUCUUCCUCGUCAUGUCCAUGGAUAUCAAGAGAAAGAGACUCAAGGUAGCAUGUGCCUAGCUUGGUGAGAGAAAUGGCCAGAUUUUCCCUGUAAGUUUCUGCAUUUCCUUGAAAGUCGACGUAGUUCCAAACUACCCUCAACACCCUUAGACUGGAGAUCUUUCCUAUCUCUUGCAGAAAUGUUGAAGGAUACAUGAAAACAGAGAAACCUGUUAGCUCUUCCAAUGCUUGCAUAUUUCCAAUUCCAUCAGGUAGUUUAACAUGGCAAUCAACAAGCAGAUGCGCCAACCGUUGAAGCUGAACAAUUGCUGAAGGCAAUUCUUUCACAUGAGUUGAUCUGAUGUCUAAUGUCUCCAGAUAUUGAAGUUCCCGUAUCUGACAUGGCAGAUCACUUAUAUCUGUCCCUUUGAUGUUCAGAUACCUCAACUGAAUUAGUCUUCCUAUACUUUUAAGAUCAUGGUUUUUCAAUCCACUACAAUUUUCAAGGUCCAACACACGCAGACCAUAAAAACCCAGAAGAGGAGGCACCUGUCCAGCGUGCAAAAAUGUCGUCAAUGACCGGACAUGGGAUCUGAGCAGGUAUGUUGGCAUUGUGACACUUCCUUCACUGUUUUUAUGGAAUGAUAGGCGACGAAUCUUGCCAGUUGGAGUAGAUGUGAGAUCUGAAGCACCAACCAUAGUAACAAAAUUUUCUUCAUUUGAUCUGGACACGACGAAAUCAAGGAUGGUAUCGUGCACUCGGCAAGCAUGCACCUGACCAUCAUCCUCUAUGUCUACUGGCUGGAGCAAGCUCCUAUUGAUGAGCUCAUUGAAAUAAUUCUCUCCUAUCUCAUAUAGGCUUUCCCCUUGUUUUGCAUGAAUGAAUCCUUCAGCAAUCCAUCUACCUAUUAGACGCUCUUUCUUUAUCACAUAAUCUUCUGGAAAUAUACUCAAAUACAUUAAACAUGUCUUUAGAUGAUGAGGAAGAUCAAAGUAGCUGAGAGAUAAAACCCAUGCCAUUGUUUCAAUAUCUGGACUGUUUUCUUGUGUAUAAUUAAUUCGACUUUUCACCUUAUCCCACUGGUCUAAUGAUUUUGGUUUGGUAGCCAGCAAACUUGAUAUAGAAAUAAUAGCCAAUGGUAAGCCACCGCACUUUCUCAAUAUGUUAUUGGCAGCUUCCCUCAAUUGAGGAGGGCACCUUUCAUCAGAAUUGAAAAUUCUUCUGAAAAACAAUCUUUUGGAGUCAGUAGCACAAAGAGCUUUCAUUUCAUAUACUUGAUCACCAUAAGAGCAGCAGCAAGAUUUAGCUAUUUCAUUUAUACGUGUUGUGGUGACUAUUCUGCUACCUUGACUGUUCUUGACCAAUGCACACUCAAUUAUUCUCCAAGUUUGUGCAUCCCAUAUAUCAUCAAUGACAAGAAAAUAUCUGUUUCACAUGACUUUUAAUUAUCAACCAAGGAUGUAUUGAUACAGAAAAGUUUGUUCCAAAAAGCAAUAGAAAGGGAACAUCAUUUGAGCCUGAAUUUUGCCAGAACAUGCUUCACGUCAGGAUUUUGCGACACGGUCACAAAAGCGCUGCAAUCAAACUGAUUUUUAACUUCAAGGUAAACUUGGUUUGCAAGUGUGGUCUUGCCCAAACCUCCACACCCAACGAUCGCCAUUGUUCUGAGCCGUUGUGAGAUGCCUCCUUGCGUAUCCAUUAGCCAUUUGAUGAUCUUAUCCUUUGGUCCAUCGAUUCCAACAAGUCUCUCCGCCUCCGUGUAGAGAGCGGACAAUCGAGGAUCAACUGAUCUAGUUCUAGAACCGGAGGCAUCUCUGUGCAGAUGUGCUUCAGAGCUCAUGCUGGAGAUGUUCAUCGUGUCGUACCUUCUGUACCGAUCGCUCUCGUCCAUGACACGAGCCUUCAGCUCUUGUAUCCGCCCGCUGAUCCGAUGCGACAACUGUAGCCCCUUGAUUCUCCAUGCCAUCUUCUUGAUGACCCCGGCUUUCCCGGUGAGGGAGCCGAGGUGAUGCACGAAGAGGUCGAUGCAAUCCUCGAUGUCGUAGGCCAUCUCCCGCACCCUGUCCCUCUACUCCUUUGUCUGGGCAUCGAUUUCCUCCAUGUCUGCGAGCCUCUCAAGCAUCGAGUUCAUGCUGCGAAGCUCGCUCUCGAGGAACCUGAUCUCCCCCCUUAACCCUUUGAGAGAUUUGUGUUCGCUUCCGAGCAGGUCAUUGAGCUUGAAGAGAAGAGAGUUCAGUGCCCCCGUCAGAGCGCUUACCA